CCCACGACACUUGAGUGCUUUCUGCAUGACUGUACUGUGAAGUAGUUGGCCACUGGUAAACCAUCUCUAGCUUCACAUUAACAGACCCAGAGAUGCUCUAUCUGCCUCUAAAACACACAGUGGCUGUCCCAUGAGCACUCACUUCUCCGAAUGUAUGCCUCCAGCAGUGCAGGGCAUUAUGGCCCUUCUGAAUAAGUCCAGCAAUUGCCUAUACAGGCUUUAGGAGCCUGAUCUUGAGUGCUGUGGAUCUGAGAAGACUAUUCCAAUCCUAAGCAGUUCCAAGAGGAUUUUCCCUGACCCUCCAGCCCUCUUCUGCCACAAAAUGGCUCUCUAUUCAUUCUAAAAUGGACCAGAAAGCAGAAGGAUUGCCCUUGUUUGAAAAAUAAUGCCCUUGUUUGAGGAGUCCAGGCCAAGUAACUUCAUGCAGAAGGGAAGCUUCACCAUUUGGACAGGAGCUGAGCAGAUGUGACCUCAAUGUCUGCACUGCAUUAAAGCUUCGGUGUAAAUCUGAUGACCUCAUCUCCCCACAGCCUGUGAUUAAUUCUAUUUAUAAAAUACAGCUCAGCAGAUCAAAGUUAAUCCUUUCCAUGCCAAGUGGGGAGUACACAGUGAUGGGUCACUCUGUCAAAGGGUAGGAAACUAAAUCAGGCUGCUGUUCUUCAUCACGGAGUAGGAUACAGGGCUUUUACCUUCAAGAGGAAAGGUUUAAUGACUUUGAAGAACUUGUAAUGCCCAUUUCUUGAUACCCUUAAAUUCUAUUUCAAUUUUUUACUAUCUUCAAAAAAUAUAAAAUUCCUCAAAUAUCAGACUCAUAUUUUUAUUUGUUGCACCAUACAGCUUCCAAUACCUCACCAAUACACACACACACACACACACACACACACACACACGUUUGUAGAUCCCAUGCCUUUGAAAGAACUCUACGAAAAGGUAUGCCACUUAUCCAGCCAGAGGAUCUUGGCAAAAAUGGAGCCUCUCUCUCUAGUUCCAUUUGGACUUCACUGGGAGGAUGCAACUUGGCAAAACACAGCGAUACUGGGCUGCAAAUGGUUUGUAAAAACAUCAAUGGUCCCACAUGGGAGUCAGUACAUCUACCAUUCGAACUAGAUUGCAUUGGCUCUGUUGGGAGUAAUAUGGGUGCAUGUAUGCAGUUAUCACUAAAAGGCUUUUCAUACUGUGACAAUCAGAUCCUCUGGUGCUCAGAUAUUGCAUUCAUUUUCUAACUCAUUCAUCAUGUGAAUGGAAUGAGGAAAUAAUGGGAUCUGUUCAUCAUACUUAUCCAUCAUUUAGUGAGGACACCACGUUCAGCUUUUUUGGAUGAAAAAAGAAAGAUAAGUAAGAGGCUUAGCACUCCUAACAUCUGACAGUCCUAGCACCUCGUGAGGACAAACGUCACUCAGGAACCAUAUCACAACAGACAAGUCCUUGAGAAAGAGGGAAGAUGAUGAAUCUAGCAGAGCCCACCAGGCAAUUCUGGGCAGGCACACCUUCAAAACCCUCCUUCUUAUUUUACCACAUUCUCGAUAAAUCUUUUAGUUACAUUAAAAUAUUCUCAACUAAAUUAGAAUAAAAUUGUAUAUCUUUUGGCCUUGUAAAUCCACUUUCAAGAAUUUAUUCUUAAAAAAUCAGAAAUGUACAUAAAUACAAAUGUUCAAGAAUGUUCAUUCCUGUGAUAUUUUAAAUAGUGAAAAAUUGGAAAUGACCUAAAUUUCCAGGAAGUUUAGAUUACUUAAAUAGAUUAUAAUAGAGCAUGUAUCAUAAACAAUAUUUGUG
rnacentral:lncRNA from 1 species